AUGGCGGAGAUUGUGAUUCUUCUAGCCAUUAGAAAGAUCGGAAUUGCCUUGGCAAAGGGAGCGGCAGACCAGGCCAGCGUGCAGUUUUCAAAGUAUGGCACACAAGUACUAGAACUACAGGGCAGCAUGGGUCGUGUUGCUAGUGAGUUUCGUGUAAUUCAUGAUGUUCUCUGUCAAAUGGACAUUCGAAACCGCAACAAUCAAGUAUAUGAGGGCUGGUUGGAAGAGGUACAGAAAGUAGCACAUGUGAUGGAGGACAUGGUGGAUGAGUACUUGUAUCUAGUUGGUCAAGAACAUGAUAUAGGUUGUUGCUUUUUCCUGAAGAAAGGGGUUAAAAAGCCAAGAUCUCUGUUUUCCUUCAACCGGCUAGCUUUCAAGGUGAAGGAAACAGAGAAACACCUCACCCACCUGUCAGAGAUAAAAAACCGAUGGGUUACCCUGAUAAAGAAUGGGGAUACUAACAGCUCAAAUUACAUUGUCAAGAGAUCCCAAGAUCUAGCAAAUAUUUCACGCUCUCUUGAUGAAGAAGAUCUAGUGGGGGUGGAUGAAAACAGAGAAAAACUUGAGCAGUGGUUGGAAGGUGGUGAUUUGGAACGGUCUGUGAUAGCUUUGCUUGGAAUGGGAGGUCUUGGUAAAACUGCUUUAGCUGCAAAUGUUUACAAGAAGAAGAGGGAGGAAUUCCAAUGUCACGCUUGGGUCUCCAUAUCUCAAACUUAUUCUAGAGAACAUGUCUUGAGGAAUAUAAUCGAGGAAGUUUGUAAAGAUAAUGUUAGUGUUCUGUCUAGCACUGUGGCUAUGGACAUUGUGCGCCUUGAAGAGACACUGAAGGAAUUUCUGGAGCAGCGGAAGUAUUUGAUCAUCUUAGAUGAUGUUUGGACUCCAGAAGCAUUUGAUGAUUUGUCUAGGGUGCUUACUCAUAAUUAUAAGGGAAGUAGAUUGAUCAUCACAACAAGGGAAGGUGAUGUUGCUGCGCAUGCCUCUCCUCGACAGACCAUAAAAAUGGAAGUUUUACCAGAAGACAAGGCAUGGGAACUAUUUUGUAAGAAAGCCUUUCCAAGAGAAACAAAUCAUGAAUGUCCUACAGAAUUGAAGCCAUUGUCCAAGGAAAUUGUUAGCAAGUGCAAAGGCUUGCCUCUUGCUAUUGUGUCAGUUGGUAGCCUCUUGUCUGUGUGUGAGAGAACGGUGGAAGAAUUGAGAAGAGUAAAUAACCAACUGAGUUGGGAGAUAAAUAAUAAUCCGAGGCUUGAUCACAUAAGGAAUGUUUUGCAUCUGAGCUUCAUCUACCUUCCAACACAGUUGAAAAGUUGUUUAUUGUAUUGCAGCCUAUUUUCAGAAGAUUAUAUUUUCCGAAGGAAACAAAUUAUGCGGUUAUGGACAGCAGAGGGGUUCGUCAAGGAGAGGGGUAGAAACACAUUAGAAGAAGUUGCAGAAGGCUAUCUAAAGGAGCUGGUUGACAGAAAUAUGCUACAACUUGUUGAGAGGAACUCAUUUGGUAGGAUGAAGACAUUCAGAAUGCACGAUAUCUUACGUGAGUUGGCAUUGGACUUGUGCCAGAAGAACUAUUUUGGUGUUACUUAUGAUGGUGAAUGUGAGGAGUCUCUUCAGGAUGUACGGCGAUUGAUACUCCAGAAACUAAAGAAGGAUAACCAUCAGCCAAUUUCUGGUAUACACCAACUGCGUACAGUCAUUACACUGGGCAAUAGUAUGCCAUCAACCACUAUACCUUUGCUAUGUAAGGAGUCAAGAUAUUUGACAGUGCUAGAAUUAAGUGGUCUACCUGUCGAGAAGAUUCCAGAUGCUAUUGGAGAUCUUUUUAAUCUCCGCCAUUUGGGUUUACGUGGUUCGAAUGUGAAGAUGCUCCCAAAGUCUUUAGAGAAGCUUUCUAAUUUGUUGACACUGGACCUUUGUAGAUCUGAUACACAUGAGCUGCCUAGUGGGAUUGUGAAACUGAAGAAGCUCAGGCACUUAUUUGUUGAGAGAGUAAUAGAUCCGACUUGGAGAGAGCUUACAUGUCGCGGUGGUGUAUGUAUCCCCAAUGGUCUUGGAAAUCUAAAGAAUCUGCAGACAUUGCAAGCAUUGGAAGCACAAGAUGUGUCUCUUAUGCAUUUAGGGGACCUGAGGCAAAUGAGAAGCUUGAGGUUAUGGAAUGUGAAGGGAAUCUACUGCGAACGCAUCAGUGAGUCUCUAGUUCAGAUGCAGUAUUUGUCCUGCCUAUGUGUGGGUGCAAGGGAUGAGAAUGAGGUUCUCAUGUUGAAUGUCCACCUGCCGAACGUGCAAAAGCUAAGUUUGAGAGGGCGACUAGCGGAAGGGGCGUUGGAUGAGUCUCCUCUCUUCCAAGCCGUUGGGGGGCAGAACUUGUAUCAAUUGUCUCUAUACUGGUCACAUCUGAGAGAAGACCCCCUGCCAUCCCUUUCUCGGUUGUCAAACUUGACGCUUCUACGUCUCACGAGAGCAUACAAUGGAGAGCAGCUGGCAUUUCUCACGGGGUGGUUCCCCAAGCUAAAGGUUCUCUCUCUAAGAGACCUGUCUAAUCUGAGUCGUCUAGAGAUACAACAAGGUGCCAUGGUGAGCCUGGAAAGAUUAAUCUUAACCAACCUCAGCAGCAUGACGGAGGUCUCAUCUGGCAUUGAGUUCCUCCUGCCCCUCCAAUAUCUAGGCUUCCUGGAAAUCACCAAUGACUUCUUGACGGUGCUGUACCAAUGUUUUGUACUUGAAGUGCAGAAGUGGCAUUAUUCUCUCCGAGACUGA
rnacentral:rRNA from 1 species